rnacentral:rRNA from 1 species
AUACGGAGGGAGCUAGCGUUGUUCGGAAUUACUGGGCGUAAAGCGCGCGUAGGCGGACUGGUCAGUUGGGGGUGAAAUCCCAGGGCUUAACCCUGGAACUGCCUUCAAUACUGCCAGUCUUGAGAUCGGGGGAGGUGAGCGGAAUUCCUAGUGUAGAGGUGAAAUUCGUAGAUAUUAGGAAGAACACCAGUGGCGAAGGCGGCUCACUGGCCCGAUACUGACGCUGAGGCGCGAAAGCGUGGGGAGCAAACAGGAUUAGAAACCCCGGUAGUCC